rnacentral:rRNA from 1 species
UACGUAGGGGGGCUAGCGUUGUCCGGAAUCAUUGGGCGUAAAGAGCGUGUAGGCGGUCCGGUAAGUCCGCUGUGAAAGUCGGGGGCUCAACCCUCGAAUGCCGGUGGAUACUGUCGGGCUAGAGUGCGGAAGAGGCGAGUGGAAUUCCUGGUGUAGCGGUGAAAUGCGCAGAUAUCAGGAGGAACACCGGUGGCGAAGGCGGGUCUCUGGGCCGGAACUGACGCUAAGGAGCGAAAGCGUGGGGGAGCGAACAGG